rnacentral:piRNA from 1 species
UAGCUGUCCUAUCAGAAGCUCCAGCAGU